ensembl:lncRNA
CUCAAAGCCACGGGACCUAGAAACCUCCGCUACUUUGUCCUGGACAACUCAGUCAUCCUGGCCAUGCUGGAGCAACCGUUGGGCAAUGAGCAGAACCCCGCCCGUCAGUGGCUUUCCUGAUCCGGGGCGUGACCGGCCGACACACCUGGACCAUGCAGCUCUUCCACCAGCCCAGAGGAGCACGGGCCAACCAGAGGGGGAGACCAGUUAGUUGGCCCACUGGUCCACCUUAGUCUGUCUCAGGUGUUUGUCCCAGAGGGCAGCCCAGUGUCCAAGGAUAACGUGGGGAUCCGCUACAACAUCAAGCAGAGGCCCUUCCCAGAGGUGGUGGACAAGAUCCCCCUGGUCAAAGCUGACGUCUGCAUUCCAGACCUGGACGACAUAGUCAACAAGGAGGUGUGAGCGACAAUGUUGACCCCACCAUGACCCCAAUAGACUCUUGAUUAUCCUAGUCUUCUCAUAUCCUCUCUUACAUGACUAAUGAUAUGAAAGUACCUUGAUAACAUGUUCAUCUUAUUUCUCUCACCUAUCCAGUUUUUUCUACUAUCCAUGAUCAUAAAGGAAAGAAUGCAGGGACAGGAGGGUCAAAGUAGUUUAUCAUAUUGGAACGCAGCUCUUAUCACUGUCCAAAUUGAAUGUAAACUUAUUCUAAAGUGAAUGACUUUUGGACAAAACCCUAGAUGUGGAGAAUAAAGAGAGUAAAAUGAUAAUGUUACCCACGCUUAUGGAGACAGACCAGCUACUAUAGUACAUUCUUAUUGAUGUGGAAUCAAGUGUCGUCUAUGAACUGGCAGGAUGAAGUGUGUGUGCCAUGCAUACUGAAAUAUAAUCACCCACGCGGGAGUUGUCCCAUCCUUUCGGAGACAGACAGGUCAAAGGUCAACCAGAUCUGGCACCUCCAUGUCUCUUUUGUUUUUUUGUCAAACUUUUUAUUGCAGCUUUGUCUUUGUUCAUUUUAUAGUUUUUAUUUUCCUAUACUGUGUCUUGUCUUUCUGUUAGUUGUUAUAAAAACCACGUGCAACCUACAGUACAUUACAUAUUGAGAUAAACGUUUCCUUUGUUAUUCUUUUUGUCCACAGUUGUCUCAUUCACUUGUAGCUGAGAUUUAAAAAAU